CCUCCCUGCUCUGCUCGGGCCUCUCGCCUCUUGCUCUCCUACCCUACCCCCGUGUGGGUGGGGAUCAAGUUGAAGGCAAGCCUGUCUCUCCCAGAAGGGGGUCACUCUGUGUCUAAGGGGGUGUUCUGCUGGCAGGACACUGGACAGGCCCUGGCCUGGGGGGCUUGUGUGUCUGGGAACUUCUUAUUCGUAGAUAGGCGUUGGCUGUGCAGGGGCCUGUGGGGUCUGCCCGUCCCGGAGCAGGUCUCACCAUCCUCUCACCUGCGCGACAGCAGGUGCCUCCCUGUUCCCUGUGACAAAGGCUCUGCCCUGCUCGCUGGGUGGAGACAGGGUUUCUUGAGUGUUCUCUUUCAAGGCUCAUGGUGGAAAGACCCUGUGCUCUGGGCUCGUAAGCAACGAGGAUGAAAUGCCACUCCCUCCCUCUGCCCCAGGAGCGCCUCGCCCAGCAUCCAUUGCCCGUGUUUCCUCGCCCGGCUGCUCUCCUCACCCGUGUUCGGGCUGCUUCUAUAUCAGCACCCACUGGAGGAUAAGUCAGCAGAUUAGGGUUAAUUUGGGAUAUGGCACUUUUUAGUUUUGGUAUUCUUAGACUGUAUUUUAGAACUACACAGGGCUGGGUUCUUAUUGAAUAUUAUCUUGUCAUUAUUGUCUGUUUUUCUCCCAGUCAUUAGAAUGAUUUUACGGUUAAAGAAAAAUCAUGUGGAUUCUGCCUGCACUUGGUGUUGGUGGCUUUGACUUGAGGAAGCACCUGGCAGUUAUAAGAGGCUGGGAGCCACACAGCCUGGGCUGGAAUCCCAAGUCUGCUACCUGAGGGAGGUCUAUGAAACAUGUCAGGAUACUUUUGGUGUAUCUCACUCUCUUCCAUGUUGUCAUCCAACGCCACCUGAGGGACUUAGGUCCCUUUUUCCAUGGCGACGUCUGGAUGUAAAGAUGCUUCAAUGCUGCAGACGUCCAGCCUGGUUCUGCUGAGGACCCUGGCUCCCAGGAUGUUCCCUGACAGUCCUGACGUCCGGCCCCCGGCACCAUCAGGGAGAAAGGCCCUGGCCAGGUCUGCUGCUGUGAAUGGUGCAGGAGGCUCACCAGGACCAGAUGCCACAGGGUCCAAGUGUCAGGCUUUGGCACGGAUGAUGACAGUCCACCGUCAAGGGCAGAUGUGUUCAUGUGUUACCAAGCCUUCUUCACACUCACCUUCCUCCACUGUGCUUAGGAAUUUAAGGAACUCGUGGGCACCAUGGUGGGCUUUCUCCAUGUUGGUCUCUGGACAAGGAAGUAGAGUGCAGCCCAAGGCAGCAGCAAGGUGACAGCCCGGGGAGGUGGGCUGCUCAUCCAUCCUGGGAUGCAGGCAGGCUGAGCCAAGGUGUCUCAAGUACCUCAGCAAGGGAGGUGCAGGAAAGGGAGUGGAGAGGUCACAGCCCACUCUUGCUCUGCCAAACUGUUUUUGUGGGUUGGGGAGUUUAGAGCAGCUUUCUGGGAGGCUCCCGCUGCAGAUCUUCCUGCUUUAGGUUCAGAUAGGCAUCUGUUGCUAAGUUUCCCAUGUA